AAUUCGAAGAUACGCGAAGAACCUUACCUAGCCUUGACAUUGAUUGAACACACUAGAGAUAGAGUGGUGCCCUUCGGGGAACAUGAAAACAGGUGCUGCACGGCUGUCGUCAGCUCGUGUCGUGAGAUGUUGGGUUAAGUCCCGCAACGAGCGCAACCCUCGUCCUUAGUUGCUAGCAGUUCGGCUGAGCACUCUAAGGAGACUGCCUUCGUAAGGAGGAGGAAGGUGAGGACGACGUCAAGUCAUCAUGGCCCUUAUGGCUAGGGCUACACACGUGCUACAAUGGGGCGUACAGAGUGUUGCGAUACCGCGAGGUGGAGCUAAUCACUUAAAGCGUCUCUCAGUUCGGAUUGGAGUCUGCAACUCGACUCCAUGAAGCUGGAAUCACUAGUAAUCGUAGAUCAGCAAUGCUACGGUGAAUACGU
rnacentral:rRNA from 1 species